rnacentral:lncRNA from 1 species
AUUUUAGGCAUAUUUAAUAAAUAACUUCAGUAAAUAGCACUGUAAAAAGUGAACUGUUAAAACUAAAGGCACUUAAAACAAGAAUGUGACUAGUGUGAAACAAGAUGGGCAACUCAAAUGGUGAGAAGUAAACAUACAGUGGUCUGUUAUGGCACUAACUCAAAGUAAGACUCGCGUAGGUGAGAGCUGUUGCAUAGCCACAGUAUAACUUCACAUGUUCAUUAAAAAGGCAAAUUGACCGCUAAAACUUCAAAGAAAAAGUACUCAUAAAAAAAGUCUUACCCCAAAAUUGCAAACAAAUACAUUAAAAGAUUAGAAGAGGUGACAGAAAGCACCAGACAUUAAACAAAAUAAAAAUAAUAAAAUAAAUUCAACUCAAAAGGUCCCCAUUCAGCAAAUACUUUGUAAAGUAUGGCCUGUAUGUAAAUAGUGCUAAAUCAAGGACUUUUUAGCAGAAAAUUGCUCGGUUCUUUUAUCUAAGGCUUGAAUUUGUAAAGUGAAGGCAUAAAAGUUACCAAACAUUAAGUAACUCUUAAAAUGGCACACAGGUUUUAAAGCUAUUGGUUUUUCCUUCCUAACUCUCUGAAUUUUUCCCAUGGCCUUUGUAGAUCAACUAUUUCAAACGUAUUUUACACCAGCAACUCUCAACAUACUUGUCUUUCAGAUAUGUCAUCAGUCAUGUCUAACAGGCAAAUAGCAAAAUAACAGAUUUAAAACAAUCCUUAACUAGCUAGCAGGACAUUUACUUUGGAUUCUGCAUAACUGCAAACUGACAUAUUUGUAAAGCUAAAAAUCAGUUUUAAUACAUGAUUAACAGAAACUCUCAUCAUGCUCAUUACUUUAACUAUUGCCCUUUCAAUCGCUAUAGAAAUAUCACUUAAUCCAAUAAGCUUGAUUUCAAUAGUCCAGGAAGAAAAGGUCAAAAAGGCACAAUGUGACCUUAGCUGACAAGAGUAACCAUCCUGUCUCAAGUCUUUUGUCAGUCCCUGGCAUGAAUUACAACAUUAUUUUCAAAAUAAUAAAACAUUUUAAAAAUUAUACAUAUUGUACAUUUUCAAAACCUGCACAUGAGUAAAACCAUGGCAAUAUUGCCCUAAAGCUACCUAACUGUGACUAUGGAAAUUGCUACUUUGCAUUCAGUGUUGUGGGAUUUGCACGGGCAGUACUCAUUUUCCCUCAUACUUCGGAUUGACCACAGUUGUUACGGCACUCUUAUAAAUAGGAUUUUCACCCGUGUCCCAUUUGGCAUUCAUUUUCUCCUUUUCAAAUUUAGCAAACUCCCUUCUGUCAUGAAUUAUCAUUAAAAGCUUCCAUAUCAGCAGUAAUGCAAGGCCAAUAAGAACAAUUCCAGCAACCACACCAGCUACAAUUGGAAUGAUGUCUGGACCAGUGGGACACUCUGGAUUCUCCACAACAUGAACCAUGACCUCGUUGUUCCC